rnacentral:lncRNA from 1 species
UGACAGUCACAGGUACCUCACAGGCUGAAUUUCUGUGCUCACCUGAAAUGGAUUCUGUCUCUGUCCGUGGGAGUGUCAAAGCCCGAGUUUUACUCGGAGAGAUUUCAUUAACAGUGACAGUCAGUAAAUUAGAUCCCCAAGAUGAGGGAUAUCUUCAUUAAAGCUGGCCAGGCAGAUUCCCAUCACCCUGGGAACACCCACUGAGCCUGGGAGGACCCACGGGAUCUGUCACCCACCCCAGACCCCUUGGGGGUCCUGAAAGCUUCCAGCAGCCGAGAAAGCACGGAGAAAGCUCAUCCACAUCCACCAGCUCCCUCUGCCCCGAGCCUGGCCAGGGGCACUGCCAGGGAUGCAGGGGCAGCCCCGCUGCUCGGGGCACCUGGGUGUCAAUCUGUCCUGCAGUUUGUGUGAAAUCUGUUUUCUCUUCGGACCUUCCUGUUUCCAGCCUGUGCUGCGUGAGCUCUGGGACCCUCAGCGGUUUGGGAAGUUGAAGCAAGUGAGUCACUCCUGGCGUGAGCCAGCAGAACAGAGCCAGCAGCUCUGCUCCGGAGGGAAUUCCACGGGACAGUGAGAGCCAGCAGCCCUGCUCCUGCUCCGGAGGGAAUUCCACGGGACAGUGACUGCCAGCAGCUCUGCUCCAGAGGGAAUUCCACAGGACAGUGAGAGCCAGCAGCCCUGCUACGAAUGAAUUCCAUGGGACANNNNNNNNNNGCAGCCCUGCUACGAAUGAAUUCCAUGGGACAGUGAGAGCCAGCAGCUCUGCUCCUGCUCCGGAGGGAAUUCCACAGGACAGUGAGAGCCAGCAGCCCUGCUCCUGCUCCGGAGGGAAUUCCAGGGGACAGCAAUGCCAGCAGCCCUGCUCCUGCUCCGGAGGGAAUUCCAUGGGACAGUGAGAGCCAGCAGCUCUGCUCCUGCUCCGGAGGGAAUUCCACAGGACAGUGAGAGCCAGCAGCCCUGCUCCUGCUCCGGAGGGAAUUCCAGGGGACAGCAAUGCCAGCAGCCCUGCUCCUGCUCCGGAGGGAAUUCCAGGGGACAGCAAUGCCAGCAGCCCUGCUCCUGCUCCGGAGGGAAUUCCACGGGACAGCAAUGCCAGCAGCUCUGCUCCUGCUCCGGAGGGAAUUCCAGGGGACAGCAAUGCCAGCAGCUCUGCUCCUGCUCCGGAGGGGCUCCCAGGGGACAGCGAGCUCUCUCCAGGACAUCGACCUGCCCCACUGCUCUCCCCGCUAAUUGCCACCAGUGCAG